rnacentral:rRNA from 1 species
AUGUUAGCAAAGCAGUGUUGGCGACUUCUCCAGAAUCCCGACUCUUUGCGUGCACGAGUGUUGAGUUCUAAAUAUUAUCCUAAUGGCGAUAUCCUAGAGGCAGGACCAAAGAAAGGAUCCUCGUUUACGUGGCAAAGCAUUGUAGCAGGAAUUCAGACCUUUAAAAGGGGUUGUAUAUGGCGAGUGGGCUCUGGUUCACACAUAAACAUUUGGGGUGACCCUCGGAUCCCAUCUAGUGAGUCGAGGAAAUUAAUCACCCCUAGAGGAGGAAUAAUGUUAACAAAGGUGGAAGAAAUCAUCGACUCACAUACUGGACAGUGGGACGAGGCGCUUAUACAGAGUGUCUUUUCACCCGUGGAUGAUAAUAGAAUAUUGCAGAUCCCUCUUAAUGUUGAAGUUGUUGACGACUUUGUAGCUUGGCACUUUACUAGGUCCGGAACUUUCUCAGUCAGGUCGGCCUACCAUGUUGAGUUUGAUCAUCAGUUUGGAUGUCAUUACUCAAGCUCUAACAGCCCGAGUAGUGUUCAUUUGAAUACAAUUUGGAAGGAGUUAUGGCAACUUCGCCUCCCGGGAAACAUUAAACAUUUUGAUUGGAAAGUUCUUAAGGUUUUUUUACCAUGCUAUGGAGUGCUAGCAAGCAGACAUAUUCCACUGGUUCCUCAGUGUCCAUUUUGUAAGAUCGGACUUGAGGACAUUCAAGACUGCUUGUUCACAUGUUCUCGGGAAUCAGAGGUUUGAACCGAGUUGGGUCUUAAUGAUGAAAUUGAUCGGGUCGUGCGGCAGGACCGCUCAGGAUCAAUCAACCUAGAGAUUUUGGUCCGACUUCGCACUAUGAUGCAUGAAAUACCAAUAGCCGAAUUGAUUCUGGUCGCUAUGUGGUUCAUUUAG